rnacentral:ncRNA from 1 species
CAUGCAAGUCGAACGGGAAGUGGUGUUUCCAGUGGCGAACGGGUGAGUAACGCGUAAGAACCUGCCCUUGGGAGGGGAACAACAACUGGAAACGGUUGCUAAUACCCCGUAGGCUGAGGAGCAAAAGGAGAAAUCCGCCCAAGGAGGGGCUCUCGUCUGAUUAGCUAGUUGGUGAGGCAAUAGCUUACCAAGGCGAUGAUCAGUAGCUGGUCCGAGAGGAUGAUCAGCCACACUGGGACUGAGACACGGCCCAGACUCCUACGGGAGGCAGCAGUGGGGAAUUUUCCGCAAUGGGC